rnacentral:rRNA from 1 species
GAUGAACGCUGGCGGCGUGCCUAAUACAUGCAAGUCGAGCGAACAGACGAGGAGCUUGCUCCUCUGACGUUAGCGGCGGACGGGUGAGUAACACGUGGAUAACCUACCUAUAAGACUGGGAUAACUUCGGGAAACCGGAGCUAACACCGGAUAAUAUAUUGAACCGCAUGGUUCAAUAGUGAAAGACGGUUUUGCUGUCACUUAUAGAUGGAUCCGCGCCGCAUUAGCUAGUUGGUAAGGUAACGGCUUACCAAGGCAACGAUGCGUAGCCGACCUGAGAGGGUGAUCGGCCACACUGGAACUGAGACACGGUCCAGACUCCUACGGGAGGCAGCAGUAGGGAAUCUUCCGCAAUGGGCGAAAGCCUGACGGAGCAACGCCGCGUGAGUGAUGAAGGUCUUCGGAUCGUAAAACUCUGUUAUGAGGGAAGAACAAAUGUGUAAGUAACUAUGCACGUCUUGACGGUACCGAAUCAGAAAGCCACGGCUAACUACGUG